rnacentral:lncRNA from 1 species
AUGUACACUUAGACUCGUACUCAUUCACUAGACGCCACCCGUUAUCGGUGUCACACGCAAUACACUGCACAUUCUCAUUCACAACAAGUGGUACCAGUUGACAUCUAUCAUUUUAGGCAUUCACUUCUUUCUAGCAACCUAGCUCUCAUUCAAGGAUCCUCAUAGGAAUCACAACAACCAAUAACACAAGCAACCAUUAU